rnacentral:lncRNA from 1 species
UACCUGUCCAGGUGUCCCCAGGUGUGUCCAGGUGGGAUUUGAGGGCUGGGACAGGUGGGAUUUACCUGUCCAGGUGUGUCCAGGUGUGCUCAGGUGUGUCCAGGUGGGGCCAGGUGGGAUUUGAGGGCUGGGACAGGUGGGAUUUACCUGUACAGGUGUGCUCAGGUGUGUACAGGUGUGUCCAGGUGUGUCCAGGUGUGCUCAGGUGUGUCCAGGUGGGGUGUGAGAGCUUGGACAGGUGUGUCCAGGUGUGUCCAGGUGUGUCCAGGUGUGUCCAGGUGGGGUCUGAGAGCUUGGACAGGUGUGCUCAGGUGUGUUUGGGUGUCCCCAGGUGUCCCCAGGUGUCCCCAGGUGUGCUCGGGUGGGAUUUCGGGGUGUUCUGGGCUGGAAUUUCGGGGGGAGGGGUUUAACCCUUUCCGUUCCUUCUCUCUCUCCGCUGCCUCCCAAGGAGCCCGGGUAAGUCCCGCCCCCAAAAUUCCCAUUUUUUACCCCAAAAUUCCCAUUUUUUACCCCAAAAUUUCCCUUUUUUACCCCAAAAUUUCCCAUUUUCAUCCCAAAAUUCCCAUUUUUUACCCCAAAAUUCCCAUUUUUUACCCCAAAAUUCCCAUUUUCAUCACAAAAUUCCCAUUUUUUACCCCAAAAUUUCCCUUUUCAUCCCAAAAUUCUCAUUUUUUACCCCAAAUUUCCCUUUUUAGCCCCAAAAUUUCCAUUUUCUUCCCAAAAUUUCCCUUUUUAGCCCAAAAUUCCCAUUUUCAUCCCAAAAUUCCCAUUUUUUACCCCAAAAUUUCCCAUUUUCAUCCCAAAAUUCCCAUUUUUUACCCCAAAAUUCCCCUUUUUUACCCCAAAAUUCCCUUUUUUUACCCCAAAAUUCCCCUUUUUUACCCCAAAUUUCCCAUUUUCAUCCCAAAAUUUCCCUUUUUAGCCCAAAAUUCCCAUUUUCAUCCCAAAAUUCCCAUUUUUUACCCCAAAUUUCCCUUUUUAGCCCCAAAAUUUCCAUUUUUCUUCCCAAAAUUUCCCUUUUUAGCAUAAAAUUUCCCGUUUUUAUCCCAAAAUUCCCGUUUUUUACCCCAAAAUUUCCCAUUUUCAUCCCAAAAUUUCUCAUUUUCUUCCCAAAAUUUCUUUUUUUAACCCAAAAUUUCUCAUUUUCCUCCCAAAACUUCCCAAAAUUAUUAUUAUUAUUUAUCAUUAAAUAAUUUAUUAUUGCCUAAUAAUUCAUUAUAAAUUAGUGAUACAAAAAAAAAUUUAAUUUAUGGAUUUUUUUU